rfam:Patagioenas fasciata monilis isolate BTP2013 Sc31e1R_97, whole genome shotgun sequence.
GAGCACUUGAUACUAACCGAGCCGUCCGUGCCCCGGGUCUCGUGCGGAGAUCUGGGGUUUGCUUUGUGAUCGCUGGGUCCAGAAAGUGCAACAUUAAAACAAGCCAUGAAGUGUUUAAGCUCAGUGUAUAAAGGAUAACACUGGGUUAUAGCUCAGAGGCACAGAA